UAAAGUGGUUUCCUGUCGAUGCUCCACUUCGCUCGUGGAGAUUGCGAAAGUGCAAUGACAGCUGAAAGGGAAGGUGUCGACACAUAACCGGUUCACAGGGUCGGGUUCCUCUGGUCAGUCCAGACAACUGGCCUUCGGUUGCAGUCUUGGAGUAAGUUGAGGCUGCAGUGUCAGUGACCUGAAUCUCUAUCUCUCUCCCUCUUUCUUAUCUGCUAUGUUGCCGCCUACUCUUCUUGCACUUGUUCACAGUGUGGGGGAAGAAAGGUGUUUCACAGUACAAGCUGCGGUUUGCAAGUCUGCAGUUUGUUAAGCUUCACCACCCCAUCUUUAUCUGUCUGUCUUAUUUUUAUUCCAUGUUGUCCUCUUUGCAGAUAAGAGAAGAUGCAGCAUGACUACUAAGAAAUCGUUGUUAUAUAUUUUAGAAAUCUGUUAUGUAAUUCAGGGGCAAAUGCAUUACACCGCUGUUUAUCAGAAAACCUGCAUAUUGUUCAUUAAACACCCACAAGCCAGUUUAACCAGGUGCUAAAAGUGCCAAACUAGCACAGUGCCAGAAGUAUUCAUGUAUUGGAUUUACUAUAUACGCCAUUUUGCCAUUGUCCUUUGACUCAUAUGUGUUGAAUCAAGUCUGUGCAACAGGCACUUAAACUUCAAAAGAGCCACAGUUUCAGCCUUUUCAUGUUUAAACUUUUCAAAUCUAAUGGCUCUGCAGCUCCCAUGGCAUUAUGGGAUAGAAAAUUGUCCAGAUUUUGCUCACAACUGAAUUUCAGCAGAUGCAGUAUUUUGUUCAGGCUUGUGACGAUGUUCAGUUCAAUUGGCUGUGCUGCUCUGAACACAUCUGAGCUGGUUUCUUCAUCCACACAUCUGGCCAAUGUACAAGCGUCCUGGACUGAAUGUGAGAACACCAGGCUGCUGCCUUUCCCAGCCUCCCGGCCCUGGAGAGCGGCGUGGACACUCCUAAUGUGGGAAUAUCCAGGAGGGGACACAGGACACAAUCCAAGCCAACCGGUUAAUGUUCUUGUUGACGUCACUGAAGUGGAACGAGUUAAAGGACGUUCCCGACUGACUCCUCCGAAGCUGUGAUCUGCCGUGCCAGAUGCUAAUUCCACCAUAGUGUGAGUCAGUUCACGUAAACGCACUCAUGGAAGGAAAGAAUGAGGGAUCUGUCAUGUGAUGCGACCACAUUAAGCCUGAAGCACAUGUAUUUCUGAGAGAAUACAGUAUAUUUAAUUCAAAAGUUCAACUUUUAUCAAGUUUUCUGUUAGCCCACUGUAAAAAUCUAGACAUAAUAGAACCCUCUCCACCGAAUGAUGCAAGAUCUCACACAGACCAUACAUCAUCACGCCAUUUCUGUCAGUUUCUAACAGCCUAUGAACUUAUCUGUCAUCUUUAAACUAAAAUACAGGAUCUUUACAGGAGUUUAAAUGAUCACACUCCUUUAAAUGAGAGCGCUGUCUGAUGACUUGUAAUCUUGUCUUCUGCGAUCUGAUUUGGAGUAAGAUCAUGGUGCUUUUAACUUGACCGAGAAUCUGAUGAGUGCAAAGCAUGUUCAGAUGAUUCAUUAUGGAAAAUGUCAAAGCGGCUAGUACUAUUUGUCCUCCCUCGUCUCUUUAUCUUGCUCUGCUCAUGCCAUACUUGUUCAAGAGUCUGACAGGGCUGAUUUUUUUUGGUACUAGUCACUAUUUUUGUGUGCAUUUCUUUUCUAUAAAUAGCCAGAUGUGGGCAGCUUAGGUGGAGACCAUGAUGUGAGCGAUGAGAACAUAAAUGUCAGCUCUCACCACUGUUCACUGCCCACCGCGACACAGACUGGCAGUUUAGACCGCUGCCGUGCAUUGUGAGCAUUCACUUUUGAAAAGUCAGCAGCAGUGUAACCAUACAAUAGAUUUUCUAUUUCCUUAUAAGUUCCUAACCAACAGUUUAUCUUAUGUAAUAAAUUUGUAAAUGUAUCUUACUUUAUGUGUUUA
ensembl:lncRNA